rnacentral:sRNA from 1 species
GAGGGACUUAGAGAAGGCAGACGCAUCCCGAACUCGCUGGAGGACAAGGCUCAGCUCUUGCCAGGCCAAAUUGAGACAUGUCUGACACAAGCGAGAGUGGUGCGGGUCUAACUCGCUUCCAGGCCUCAGCAGAUGAACCUGAGCCUGAGAGUGCAGCUGCCCAGUCUCAGGAGAAUCAGGAUACUCGGCCCAAGGUCAAAGCCAAGAAAGCCCGAAAGGUGAAGCAUCUGGAUGGGGAAGAGGAUGGCAGCAGUGAUCAGAGUCAGGCUUCUGGAACCACAGGUGGCCGAAGGGUCUCAAAGGCCCUAAUGGCCUCAAUGGCCCGCAGGGCUUCAAGGGGUCCCAUAGCCUUUUGGGCCCGCAGGGCAUCAAGGACUCGGUUGGCUGCUUGGGCCCGGAGAGCCUUGCUCUCCCUGAGAUCACCUAAAGCCCGUAGGGGCAAGGCUCGCCGUAGAGCUGCCAAGCUCCAGUCAUCCCAAGAGCCUGAAGCACCACCACCUCGGGAUGUGGCCCUUUUGCAAGGGAGGGCAAAUGAUUUGGUGAAGUACCUUUUGGCUAAAGACCAGACAAAGAUUCCCAUCAAGCGCUCAGACAUGCUGAAGGACAUCAUCAAAGAAUACACUGAUGUGUACCCUGAAAUCAUUGAACGAGCAGGCUAUUCC